AUACGGAGGAUCCGAGCGUUAUCCGGAUUUAUUGGGUUUAAAGGGUGCGCAGGCGGCCAUUUAAGUCAGCGGUUAAAUCGUGGGGCUCAACCCCAUUCUGCCGUUGAUACUGGGUGGCUUGAUUGCGGUCGAGGUUGGCGGAAUUCGUUGUGUAGCGGUGAAAUGCAUAGAUAUGACGAAGAACACCGAUUGCGUAGGCAGCUGACCAGAUCGCAAAUGACGCUCAUGCACGAAAGUGCGGGGAUCGAACAGGAUUAGAUACCCUGGUAGGCCGCACAGUAAACGAUGAACACUUGUUUUCGGCGAUAUAAUGUCGGAGGCAAAGCGAAAGCGAUAAGUAUUCCACCUGGGGAGUACGCCGGCAACGGUGAAACUCAAAUGAAUUGACGGGG
rnacentral:rRNA from 1 species